rnacentral:rRNA from 1 species
CAGCAGCCGCGGUAAGACAGAGGAUGCAAGCGUUAUCCGGAAUGAUUGGGCGUAAAGCGUGCGUAGGCGGCUAAUUGAGUCGGAUGUGAAAUCCCCGAGCUUAACUUGGGAAUUGCAUUCGAUACUGGUUAGCUAGAGUGUGGGAGAGGAUGGUAGAAUUCCAGGUGUAGCGGUGAAAUGCGUAGAGAUCUGGAGGAAUACCGAUGGCGAAGGCAGCCAUCUGGCCUAACACUGACGCUGAGGUACGAAAGCAUGGGGAGCAAACAGGAUUAGAUACCCCUGUAGUCCCUGUCUCUUAUAC